rnacentral:lncRNA from 1 species
AAAAUGAUAAGUUACAUGGGAAUUUCUAUUGUUAAUCAUAUCAAUCAACUUGUUUCUUUACUAGCGGUUGCAAGAGAAACCAUUUCUAAUUUUAUAGAGGAUAAAGCAAGAAUCAUUUGUUUCUUACACAUCGAAGAAAUGUCUCCUUAACUAUGCUAAAUAUGUAAGUUAUAGAAUAUUUGGAGUCACAUGACUAGGUGUUCAAAUUAACAUCACAGAAACAAUUAAGAAUAAUUAAGAAUAUAAUAUGAGGUUCAUGUUCCAUUUUAAUUAUCUCAUGGCUCAUUCAAUGAGUAUGUUAAUGCUCUAUACUAUGUUUAUUAGUAAACUUGCACAACAAUUAUAUGAUAUAGACAAUGUAAUUCUAGUACUACCGUUGCCAUACUUGAUGGGGGCAAUAAUGCUAACAUAUUCAAAUUGUCUUACGUUCUUCCACCAUCUUAGUAACAUGUAUGGUUCUUGCACAAUAGCCAGGCCCAGCCUUAGCGAGUAUGCAAUGACAACUACCACCACAGUCUGGCUCGGAUCGGGAACAAGGCCAUCCAAAACAACUAUAUGCUUCUACCUCUUCAUGGGAAACAUCAACAACACUACAAUGGUGAUGGCAAACUUAAUUUUAAAAUAUAAUUAAUAUAUACACAUGGCAAUGCAUUACUUUAAUUAUAAACGUUAAAAACAUUCUUUGUUCUCUUAUUUAUUUACUUGAGACUUAUAGUAAAGAUUGAAGACAUACAUAAUGUGGCAAGCAAGAAGAGAGGCAAAAGAAAGAUCUUAGCAUAAACCAUAAUGCUUGAAUGAAUUGAAAGAACUAUGUUAUGUUAUGUU